CGAAUGGGGAAACCCAGCAUGAGUUAUGUCAUGUUAUCGAUAUGUGAAUACAUAGCAUAUCAGAAGGCACACCCGGAGAACUGAAACAUCUUAGUACCCGGAGGAAGAGAAAGAAAAUUCGAUUCCCUUAGUAGCGGCGAGCGAAACGGGAAGAGCCCAAACCAACAAGCUUGCUUGUUGGGGUUGUAGGACACUCUAUACGGAGUUACAAAGGACGACAUUAGACGAAUCAUCUGGAAAGAUGAAUCAAAGAAGGUAAUAAUCCUGUAGUCGAAAAUGUUGUCUCUCUUGAGUGGAUCCUGAGUACGACGGAGCACGUGAAAUUCCGUCGGAAUCUGGGAGGACCAUCUCCUAAGGCUAAAUACUCUCUAGUGACCGAUAGUGAACCAGUACCGUGAGGGAAAGGUGAAAAGCACCCCGGAAGGGGAGUGAAAUAGAACCUGAAACCGUGUGCUUACAAGUAGUCAGAGCCCGUUAAUGGGUGAUGGCGUGCCUUUUGUAGAAUGAACCGGCGAGUUACGAUUUGAUGCAAGGUUAAGCAGUAAAUGUGGAGCCGUAGCGAAAGCGAGUCUGAAUAGGGCGUUUAGUAUUUGGUCGUAGACCCGAAACCAGGUGAUCUACCCUUGGUCAGGUUGAAGUUCAGGUAACACUGAAUGGAGGACCGAACCGACUUACGUUGAAAAGUGAGCGGAUGAACUGAGGGUAGCGGAGAAAUUCCAAUCGAACCUGGAGAUAGCUGGUUCUCUCCGAAAUAGCUUUAGGGCUAGCCUCAAGUGAUGAUUAUUGGAGGUAGAGCACUGUUUGGACGAGGGGCCCCUCUCGGGUUACCGAAUUCAGACAAACUCCGAAUGCCAAUUAAUUUAACUUGGGAGUCAGAACAUGGGUGAUAAGGUCCGUGUUCGAAAGGGAAACAGCCCAGACCACCAGCUAAGGUCCCAAAAUAUAUGUUAAGUGGAAAAGGAUGUGGCGUUGCCCAGACAACUAGGAUGUUGGCUUAGAAGCAGCCAUCAUUUAAAGAGUGCGUAAUAGCUCACUAGUCGAGUGACACUGCGCCGAAAAUGUACCGGGGCUAAACAUAUUACCGAAGCUGUGGAUUGUCCUUUGGACAAUGGUAGGAGAGCGUUCUAAGGGCGUUGAAGCAUGAUCGUAAGGACAUGUGGAGCGCUUAGAAGUGAGAAUGCCGGUGUGAGUAGCGAAAGACGGGUGAGAAUCCCGUCCACCGAUUGACUAAGGUUUCCAGAGGAAGGCUCGUCCGCUCUGGGUUAGUCGGGUCCUAAGCUGAGGCCGACAGGCGUAGGCGAUGGAUAACAGGUUGAUAUUCCUGUACCACCUAUAAUCGUUUUAAUCGAUGGGGGGACGCAGUAGGAUAGGCGAAGCGUGCGAUUGGAUUGCACGUCUAAGCAGUAAGGCUGAGUAUUAGGCAAAUCCGGUACUCGUUAAGGCUGAGCUGUGAUGGGGAGAAGACAUUGUGUCUUCGAGUCGUUGAUUUCACACUGCCGAGAAAAGCCUCUAGAUAGAAAAUAGGUGCCCGUACCGCAAACCGACACAGGUAGUCAAGAUGAGAAUUCUAAGGUGAGCGAGCGAACUCUCGUUAAGGAACUCGGCAAAAUGACCCCGUAACUUCGGGAGAAGGGGUGCUCUUUAGGGUUAACGCCCAGAAGAGCCGCAGUGAAUAGGCCCAAGCGACUGUUUAUCAAAAACACAGGUCUCUGCUAAACCGUAAGGUGAUGUAUAGGGGCUGACGCCUGCCCGGUGCUGGAAGGUUAAGAGGAGUGGUUAGCUUCUGCGAAGCUACGAAUCGAAGCCCCAGUAAACGGCGGCCGUAACUAUAACGGUCCUAAGGUAGCGAAAUUCCUUGUCGGGUAAGUUCCGACCCGCACGAAAGGCGUAACGAUUUGGGCACUGUCUCAACGAGAGACUCGGUGAAAUCAUAGUACCUGUGAAGAUGCAGGUUACCCGCGACAGGACGGAAAGACCCCGUGGAGCUUUACUGUAGCCUGAUAUUGAAAUUCGGCACAGCUUGUACAGGAUAGGUAGGAGCCUUUGAAACGUGAGCGCUAGCUUACGUGGAGGCGCUGGUGGGAUACUACCCUAGCUGUGUUGGCUUUCUAACCCGCACCACUUAUCGUGGUGGGAGACAGUGUCAGGCGGGCAGUUUGACUGGGGCGGUCGCCUCCUAAAAGGUAACGGAGGCGCUCAAAGGUUCCCUCAGAAUGGUUGGAAAUCAUUCAUAGAGUGUAAAGGCAUAAGGGAGCUUGACUGCGAGACCUACAAGUCGAGCAGGGUCGAAAGACGGACUUAGUGAUCCGGUGGUUCCGCAUGGAAGGGCCAUCGCUCAACGGAUAAAAGCUACCCCGGGGAUAACAGGCUUAUCUCCCCCAAGAGUUCACAUCGACGGGGAGGUUUGGCACCUCGAUGUCGGCUCAUCGCAUCCUGGGGCUGUAGUCGGUCCCAAGGGUUGGGCUGUUCGCCCAUUAAAGCGGUACGCGAGCUGGGUUCAGAACGUCGUGAGACAGUUCGGUCCCUAUCCGUCGUGGGCGUAGGAAAUUUGAGAGGAGCUGUCCUUAGUACGAGAGGACCGGGAUGGACAUACCUCUGGUGUACCAGUUGUCGUGCCAACGGCAUAGCUGGGUAGCUAUGUGUGGACGGGAUAAGUGCUGAAAGCAUCUAAGCAUGAAGCCCCCCUCAAGAUGAGAUUUCCCAACUUCGGUUAUAAGAUCCCUCAAAGAUGAUGAGGUUAAUAGGUUCGAGGUGGAAGCAUGGUGACAUGUGGAGCUGACGAAUACUAAUCGAUCGAAGACUUAAUCAA
rnacentral:rRNA from 2 species